rnacentral:rRNA from 1 species
UUACCCGCUGAACUUAAGCAUAUCAAUAAGCGGAGGAAAAGAAACCAACAGGGAUUGCCUUAGUAACGGCGAGUGAAGCGGCAACAGCUCAAAUUUGAAAGCUGGCCCUUUUAGGGUCCGCAUUGUAAUUUGUAGAGGAUGAUUCGGCGAGGGCUCCUGCCUAAGUCCCCUGGAACGGGGCGUCAUAGAGGGUGAGAAUCCCGUAUGCGGUAGGUUGCCUUAGCCAUGUGAAUCUCCUUCGACGAGUCGAGUUGUUUGGGAAUGCAGCUCUAAAUGGGAGGUAAAUUUCUUCUAAAGCUAAAUACCGGCCAGAGACCGAUAGCGCACAAGUAGAGUGAUCGAAAGAUGAAAAGCACUUUGGAAAGAGAGUUAAAAAGUACGUGAAAUUGUUGAAAGGGAAGCGCUUGCAACCAGACUUGUCCGCAGUUGCUCAGCCGGUCUCCUGACCGGCGUACUCUUCUGCGGCCAGGCCAGCAUCAGUUCGGGCGGUCGGAUAAAGGCCUCGGGAAUGUAGCUCCUCUCGGGGAGUGUUAUAGCCCGGGGUGGAAUGCGGCCAGCCUGGACUGAGGAACUCGCUUCGGCAAGGAUGCGGC